GCGUCCCGGUGAAAACGUCCAAUAAAUUCACCCACAGAAAUUAAAAGACUGGUAUCAGGCACAUUCAAUAGCCUAAAACACCUAGCCUCACCACACCCCCACGGGCCUGCAGCAGUGAUAAAUAUUAUCACAUAAACGCAAGUUUGAAUUAAUCAGGGAAAAAAGAGUUGUCAAAUAGUGGUGCCAGCAGUCGCGGCUACACCUCAUAACUCAAAUUGACUUCAAUCGGCGUAAAGAGUGGUACAAAUCAACCCCCCUCCCCCGCUAGAGUUUAAAUUUAACUCUCCCCAGUGGCACAAGAGUUAAAGUAAAGCCAUCAACGAAAGUCACUCUAACACCCAUUUUACCCACGUAAGCCAGGAAACAAACUGGAAUUAGAUACCCCACUAUGCCUAGCCGUAAACUUUCACUUACUUCCUUCUCGCCAGGGAACUACGAGCCAAGCUUAAAACCCAAAGGACUUGACGGUACUCACACCCCCCUAGAGGAGCCUGUCCCAUAAUCGAUGACCCCCGAUCAACCUCACCAUUUUUAGCUUAUCAACCUGUAUACCUCCGUCUAGCUUACCACAUGAGUGAUCUUUAGUAAGCCACAAGUUUUGACAACCAUAAGCCAGGUCAAGGUGCAGUUAAUAAAACGGGCAAAGAUGGGCUACAUUUUCUAUUUUAGAAAAUACGGAAAAACUUUUGCAACAAAGUCAGAAGGAGGAUUUAGUAGUAAAAAGAAAACAGAGUGUUCUUUUUAAUAUACGCACUGGAGCGAGUACACACCGCCCGUCACCCUCUUCGAACAUCAUAUCUAGUUAUAUACACCAAAAUAAAAAGAGAAGAGGCAAGUCGUAACAUGGUAAGUAUACCGGAAGGUGUACUUGGAA
rnacentral:ncRNA from 1 species